rnacentral:rRNA from 1 species
UGCAGUCGAGCGCCCCGCAAGGGGAGCGGCAGACGGGUGAGUAACGCGUGGGAAUGUACCCUUUGCUACGGGAUAGCUCCGGGAAACUGGAAUUAAUACCGUAUGUGCCCUUCGGGGGAAAGAUUUAUCGGCAAGGGAUCAGCCCGCGUUGGAUUAGCUAGUUGGUGGGGUAAAAGCCUACCAAGGCGACGAUCCAUAGCUGGUCUGAGAGGAUGAUCAGCCACAUUGGGACUGAGACACGGCCCAAACUCCUACGGGAGGCAGCAGUGGGGAAUAUUGGACAAUGGGCGCAAGCCUGAUCCAGCCAUGCCGCGUGUGUGAUGAAGGCCUUAGGGUUGUAAAGCACUUUCACCGAUGAAGAUAAUGACGGUAGUCGGAGAAGAAGCCCCGGCUAACUUCGUGCCAGCAGCCGCGGUAAUACGAAGGGGGCUAGCGUUGUUCGGAAUUACUG